CGGAACGCCAGGCCCGGACUGAACGCCAGCCUGUCUGCUCCGGGACCGCGUUCUCGCCAGGCAGGUUACACAACAGCAGACUGCAACGGAAUCAGGUUCCACCGAAGGAAAUCACCGCCUUCAUGGCGCUUCGAUUACACCUGAGAUAAGAGGAGGGGAAGGCAAGAAGAUAGCACAGCCUGCCGGGCAGUGGAGGUGCUGGGCCGCGAAAAUGGCUUUAGUCUGUGCAGGGACCGGAAAAGUAAGGAGUAUUCUUCCUGUUUCGAGGACGAGGAAUCCCAGGCUUAGGGGAGAUUGGUCAACGACCUUUGAAUUGAGGCCAUUCGACUUCAGAGGCCAGGUUUCUAAACCUGGUCCUGCUACCCCUGAGCUGUAGAAACUGGACCAAGGUGGCUCGGGUGUGUUGUGACUGGGUGCUGUUCAUUUGUAGAUGGUUGAGGUGAGCUAGGUUUUUUGUUUUGGUUUGGUUUGAUUUUUUACUUACUACGUGCUGGUGUGUAGGAGUAGGCUACGCGUCUUACCAAGCAGAGAUCCUGGUGUUCAACCCUCAUACUCAGUAACGAGCCUCGGCUCUCGUCUCCUUCCAAGUUACGUAAAGGCUGUGUUCUCCGAACUAAUCUUCAGAUUGUAAAAGUCUGACCACUGGUACAAUGAGCCAAAAACUAGCCUUUCUUGCCAAGAUGCAUGGUGAAUGUUUCACAAAAAGGAAUAUUUUAAACUGAGCAUAUUCAUCCUGUGCUCAGCAGGGUCCAGGAAAGUUUUGUGUCCAUGGGGUGAACCCAGGGUUUGCCACAGAAGGAGCCGGUUUUAGGUCAAGUUGCCCUCGGUCUGAGCCAGCCUUCCAGGAGUUUCUGUUUGGUUCUUUUCUGGUAUGAAGGGGUGAACAUUUCGCUCUUGUCUAGUCUGUAUAUUGAUUUAUGACAUUUUUUGAUUUCAUCGAAAUCUCCAGGCCAUGAAGUAUUUUAAGGGAUUUUCCUCCAUGGUACUACAAGGAAUCUCUCCCUUUUAGAAAAUUUAAUGCAAAAUUUCAAAAUUCCAGAAUCCCCAAAAUGACUGCACCUUGGAGUUUAUGAGAUCUCAUUUGUGGUGGAUGAUGACCUAGAGUAUUUGUCCAAACAAGCACAAAUGUCUGGAAACAAUAAACAGAUGACUGGGCAUCCUUUCCUGGACUUUGGAUGUACCUUUCAUACACUGGCAGGAAGCCACAAGGAAAGCUGAGUCAGCACAGAGAAUAGGAGCAGCUACCAGAAAGUUAGGAAUCAGCCUGUGAUUCAUAUGCACCAGCUAAAAGGAAAAAAAAAAAAAGCAAGUCUAGUGCCCAAAAUACACCAGCACCUUUUCCAGGGCCCUCCCUCUGGAUGAGCAUGACACCUGGAGAGCUUGUAAGGUCUCAUGGAAAUACUGCACUUCAAGUUAUUUAAGAAGGGUCCGAAGGACGUCCAGCCUCUUGAAGUGAUAAUCAAAUGCAAUCGGACUUCCUUAGAAGCAGCAAAGUUACAGUCGUGGACCAUAUCUGGCAGGGCUUCCAGACUUACAGCACAUGCCAGGCAUAAUUGAAUGUGAGUAUGAUAAACAAUGAUGGACCACUGACAGUCUAUAAUGCUGUAAAGUCAAGGGUCCCCAGCUGUUCUAGAAACAGUGAAAUACUGCGAAGCCCAGCUGCAUACCCCAGAUGUGGUCAUCUUGGCUUGGAGAGAACUCCUACUCCUAUUUCCUUCAAAAAGGUACUGAGAAGACUAUACAGAAAUUGGGAUUGGCCAGCACUCAGCAAUCCUUUCAGCUGAGGAAUGUGUUUAGGGCAGGAGGGGGCAUCAGAAAGUCCCAAGAUGAACUUGGCCUACGCUCUAGAAAUAUAUUUUUAGCUCACAGCUUUGUGGGUGGAGCAGAGAGGGGAAAGAUGACACAGAAAUAUUAUAGCAUAGCAAGAAAAUUUUGCGCAUUUAAAAAGAUAAAGCACAGGGUUUUAAAUUAUGUUUAAAAUUUUAAAACUAUGUUUACAUUUUUACAUUUUUGUUCAAAUUUUAAACAAGAUUUCUUGUUUGUUCCUGGUUGCUUCUAACUAUAUACGGACCUUUGACCUUUUGGACCUGACAUACAAAAAAUCUAAGAUUAGAUAUUUCAUCCCAUUUAAUUUUUUGCCUUAGAAAUAUGAUUACUCGGACAUAUGGUUACUACUAUUGUGACUACUUCUAUUAGUGCUGAUUACUAAGAUUACCACUACCACUAUUACUAAUUCUCUGAUGCGAAUAAUCUAGUGAUACUAAUAAACUAGUAAAACUAAUACUGAUACUAAUAAUCACUGAAAACAAUAAGAAACAAGAAUGCAGGUCAAAUUGGCCAACAUAAUGGCCACUAGUGUUUUCAAGCUUGUCCAAACCCACCCAGCUGUCUGUGCUACCCUCUGUAUGACCUGCUGGGGUGAAUGGACCAGUGGCCAUGGGCAGAGGUCUGGGUACCCUGGUCAUUCACCUCCUACUCCACCAUCACCUUAGAAACUGAAGGGAACAGUAUCAAACCUGUGCCCUGCCUGUAGUACACCAGGGCCAAGAUCUGAGUUAGCCUUUUCACAGCAGUAAAUAAUUUUAAGUUUUUCAUUUACAAAACCAGAAAACGCCUUUGUGGACUGAUUAAUUAAUGAUGUGAAGGAGCUUUUACCAACACGGUCUGAGUGUCACAGCGAUGAUGCAGAACUCUGCUUUUUCCCCCUUCUGGGUUCUAUGAUGCUGCUUGUUAGUGUUCCCAAAAGGUGUGACGCUGAGCUCAGCAUGGUUAACUGGAAAAGACUGUCACUCAUUCAUUUAACAAAUGUGUAUUGACUUCCUGCCAUGUGGUGUGCACCCUGCAGGUGCCUCAGAUAUCAUGACGACCACUCCUCACCAUGCUCCCUCCACCAUGGAGCUUUGGUUCUGGAGCAGGAAACAGGAAACAGAAGGAAACACUAGCAAAUGCAAUGCCACCUAGCUGAGCUGUCUAGCAACAUGCAGGGCAUAAGAGCAAAUCCCAGGUCAGGCCUUGGGAAUUGGAGAAGGCCUCCCCAAAAAGUGAAGUAUCCAUGCUGAAAGCUCAUUGGACAGACACACUGGAGGAGAUGGUGGAGAGAAGACUGCAGGCCAAGGCAGAAGGCACUAGAUAGCUCUGGGUGAAGUUGGCCGUGGAAUAUGAAGCAGAGAAAGGAAAGUGUCAUGUGGUACAGUAAGAAAAAUGCAUGGGUUUUCUUCCAUAGUUCCUCCACAGAGCUCUUGAAAGGCUCAUAAUUCCCUGAAUGAGAGGGGUGAGGGAACUGUCUGUUCUUAUUCACAAUUAACCCAUUAGAACCAUUCCUAAGUUUAUGUUAAUGAGAUGACUGGUGGCCCCAUCCCCUAGAGAACUUCCCGAU
ensembl:lncRNA